AUUGAACGCUGGCGGCAUGCCUUACACAUGCAAGUCGAACGGCAGCAUGGGUGCUUGCACCUGAUGGCGAGUGGCGAACGGGUGAGUAAUGCAUCGGAACGUGCCCUGAAGUGGGGGAUAACGUAGCGAAAGUUACGCUAAUACCGCAUAUUCUGUGAGCAGGAAAGCAGGGGAUCGCAAGACCUUGCGCUUUAGGAGCGGCCGAUGUCGGAUUAGCUAGUUGGUGAGGUAAAGGCUCACCAAGGCGACGAUCCGUAGCGGGUCUGAGAGGAUGAUCCGCCACACUGGGACUGAGACACGGCCCAGACUCCUACGGGAGGCAGCAGUGGGGAAUUUUGGACAAUGGGCGCAAGCCUGAUCCAGCCAUGCCGCGUGAGUGAAGAAGGCCUUCGGGUUGUAAAGCUCUUUCGGUGGGGAAGAAAUGGUUUCGGUUAAUGCCCGGAAUUGAUGACGGUACCCGCAUAAGAAGCACCGGCUAACUACGUGCCAGCAGCCGCCGUAAGAC
rnacentral:rRNA from 1 species